AGUUAAAAAGCUUAUAGAAAAGCAAGUGAUUUGAAAUCACAAGAAAGAAGUUUAAAUCUUCUAUU
rnacentral:tRNA from 1 species